AUUUAUAUCACAAAAUCUUUCAUUUCACAUUUAAAUAUUAUUAGUAUAUAUUACAAAUUCCAAAACUUCAAUAACAAAAAUAUGAGAUAUCCUACUCUCAUAACUCAAUAAUCCAAAUUCAAUACAUAAAAAUUUCUACCAUCCAAUCAAAUGCCUACUACUUGUGGCUAAAUUUAAUAAAUCUAGAAGCUAAAUUGAGAAGGAUGAAUGUCUUUCACUCUUUGAAUAUGAGUAGUAUAAUUGCGUUAUCACACCAGCAGCUUCUCCAUUCAAUAGACUGUAUAGGUUAGGAUAUAAGUGAAGUUGAAGAAUAAACACU
rnacentral:lncRNA from 1 species